rnacentral:tRNA from 1 species
GGGCGGUUAGCUCAGUUGGUCAGAGCGCUUGUUUUACACACAAGAGGUCACAGGUUCGAGCCCUGUACCGCCCA